rnacentral:rRNA from 1 species
GUAGGUGGCAAGCGUUGUCCGGAAUUAUUGGGCGUAAAGCGCGCGCAGGCGGUUCUUUAAGUCUGAUGUGAAAGCCCACGGCUCAACCGUGGAGGGUCAUUGGAAACUGGAGAACUUGAGUACAGAAGAGGAAAGCGGAAUUCCACGUGUAGCGGUGAAAUGCGUAGAGAUGUGGAGGAACACCAGUGGCGAAGGCGGCUUUCUGGUCUGUAACUGACGCUGAGGCGCAAAAGCGUGGGGAGCAAACAGGAUUAGAUACCCUGGUAGUCCACGCCGUAAACGAUGAGUGCUAAGUGUUAGGGGGGUUUUCCGCCCCCCUUAGUGCUGCAGCUAACGCAUUAAGCACUCCGCCUGGGAGUACGGCCGCAAGGCUG